rnacentral:rRNA from 1 species
CCUACGGGAGGCAGCAGUGAGGAAUAUUGGUCAAUGGCCGCAGGGCUGAACCAGCCAAGUCGCGUGAGGGAUGACGGUCCUACGGGUUGUAAACCUCUUUUGCCAGGGAGCAAAGAGCGCCACGCGUGGCGCCUUGUGAGUACCUGGAGAAAAAGCAUCGGCUAACUCCGUGCCAGCAGCCGCGGUAAUACGGAGGAUGCGAGCGUUAUCCGGAUUUAUUGGGUUUAAAGGGUGCGCAGGCGGAAGGGCAAGUCAGCGGUAAAAUUUCGGGGCUCAACCCCUUCCUGCCGUUGAAACUGCCGUUCUUGAGUGAGCGAGAAGUACGCGGAAUGCGUGGUGUAGCGGUGAAAUGCAUAGAUAUCACGCAGAACUCCGAUUGCGAAGGCAGCGUACCGGCGCCCAACUGACGCUCAUGCACGAAAGCGUGGGUAUCGAACAGGAUUAGAUACCCCAGUAGUC